rnacentral:rRNA from 1 species
UACGUAGGGUGCAAGCGUUGUCCGGAAUUAUUGGGCGUAAAGCGCGUGUAGGCGGCCCGAUUAGUCCGCUGUGAAAGUCCAGGGCUCAACCCUGGAAUGCCGGUGGAUACUGUCGGGCUAGAGUCCGGAAGGGGCGAGUGGAAUUCCCGGUGUAGCGGUGAAAUGCGCAGAUAUCAGGAGGAACACCUAUUGCGAAGGCAGCUCGCUGGGACGUAACUGACGCUGAGACGCGAAAGCGUGGGGAGCAAACAGG